UACGGAGGGUGCAAGCAUUAAUCGGAUUUAUUGGGCGUAAAGGGCGCGUAGGCGGCGUGAAAAGUCAGAUGUGAAAUCCUGGGGCUCAACCUCAGAACAGCAUUUGAAACUCUCACACUAGAGGGUAGGCGGAGAAAACGGAAUUCCACAAGUAGCGGUGAAAUGCGUAGAUAUGUGGAAGAACACCGGUGGCGAAGGCGGUUUUCUAGCUUAUUCCUGACGCUGAGGCGCGAAAGCAAGGGGAUCAAACAGG
rnacentral:rRNA from 1 species